UGUCGGCACGCUGCCGGUUUGGAGAAACAGACAAGAGUACUGCCACAGAAGCUAAGCAAGCUAGUGCUGUGGAGGGGUCAGAGGGGUUAAGUGUACCCUAUAUUUAGUACAUUUUCACUGCUUAACCUUCCUGUCAGGCAGCUUUUUCUGACAGGUGACUGAAGCCACGUCGCUCUCUUCACAGCCAGACUCCAGUGAGAAAAUGGAUUUAACACCACUGAACACAGGAGCUGCUGGUCCAUCGCUGCCUCAAUCGGUGGAUGGAAACACACUGGCUAGCAAUCUACACCAGUGCUUCUCAAUCUUAGACCACAACAACCCUCCACAGGACAUGAGGAUGUAGAGAGGCUGGAUUGAGUCCUGGUGCAGCUUGAGGUUGUCCCACAGGAUCUGGAUCAACACGUGUUUACUGUCCUCCGACAUCCAGUGACGAGGGACCUGACAAGAGAAAGAGAGUUACUGUGAGUCAGUCGUGUCAUUUACAGACAGGAUACCCAUUUCCACUGUCGCCUGUGUCACUGCAUUUAACCAACACUACAUCAUUAUUGACCUGGGAGUCUGUGUUGCAGUGCUCAGAGGUGAGGAUGAGACCGGGCAGGUUGCUGGGCAGGUCCAGUCGUCUGAAGUACCACACCAGGUUCCAGUAGAUGAUGGGAUGGUGGUCCACCAUGUCGGCCUCUGUGAUCACCGGGUCGCCCUCAUUCUCCAGCAGACUCUCCAGCUCCUUCCACAGCACCAGCGGGCUCAGGUAGGGAACCGUCACUGGCUCGGGGUUGUGGAGCCGCCACUCCAUACUCAGCGGGUCCUGGGUGGGACAAAAAUGAUCGAGGUGAGAUUUCUAAUUGUCUUAUGUAAAUGAGCUGCUGCUGAGCUCUGUAAAAUGUCUGGUACCUUGUCAGGAUCACAGGCUGUGAAUAAAAGUAGACACAGCGAGGAGACUGUUCUUAACUUCACUCCCUCCGUGUAUUUUUAAUGUGGACAGGGCAGUUAAAAUGAGGGAAAAUGUGAAGUCAAGUUGGACUUAAACCAUAAAACCUGAUCUAAGCCUAGACGACCUGGCAAUCACUCACAGUACCAGCAGUAAUGCAGCCCCAUAGUAGUAUAAUAGUAGUGAAUGACUCAAAUACUCCGACAUGUUUACGUCUGUACCAUGGCUUCAUUGAGACGGCUGGGCAGGCUGCCUGACGUCGGCAUACAGCGGUUGACUCGGGAAGCUUCGUCCAGAGGACCGAAGGCGCUGACACUGCGAGCCAUGGGCGCUCCGGGAGACAGCGACCCCUGCCGGCGCUCUGAGGGGAUGUUGAUACCUUGAGCCCUGGUUGAUCGAGUCCUGUAAGGACACGGGGACAGUCAGUUUGUGUCAUCAACAUUUAAAACAUCAUAAUUAUUCCUGAGGAAAGGGUGUUUCUAGUUUGCAACACAGUGAGUCAAGGUGUAGUGUAGUUUUACUAUUUUAUAAAAAGGUAACACAGACAACACAGAAUCCAGAUAUUCAAAUCACAAACACAAAAACAAAACACAACUUUUGUUGCCUGAUAUUUAGGCACCAGGAUAUCAUGCACUGUUCAUCCCUGUUGCUCACACAUUUCAUAACCAUAUGAGGGUUUAAACAACCAUGUGUUCUCUCUGUUCCCGACACUCACACACACACACUCACUCACACACGCACACACACACAGAGCUUUGUUUGGACCAGGUGCUGUAGACCAUCUCACAUCGCUGUUUUACAAUGCAGAUAGGGAGCAUGUGGACGCAGCUACAGUGGGUUCCUACUUCAAAAGCAUUGUGUAAUCAGACAAACUGGGAGCUGAAUGAAGACGAACUGAAAAAGGUGUCAUACAGAAUAUCUGAGAAAAGUUUUUUUUUUCUCCUAAAAAUGUCAGGUUUUCUGCUUGUAUUAAAUCUUCUCUGCUGCCUUCCCACCAAACCAGUCUGAACUACAACUUAUUAAAUACUACAGCUAACAAAACAGAAAACUUAUAAAUGUUAGGACCAGCAUGAACAUAAAUGAAGAAUGUGCAGUAACACUGGGAGACAGUGAGUACCUUCCAGCCCCUGAGCACUCCUGGACAGCGAUCACAGGGGACGGAGGAAAGACUGCAGUUGUAGGACAGGGGGUGGACAAGGUGGACGUCCCCGUGUCCAAACCUGUGGAGGCAGAGUACGACGAGGUCAUUGCCUCGUCCACUGAUGGGCUGCCCUUCAGGAAAAGCCUGCGGAGAGGAGAAGAAAGGGGGGAAUUACAUUUAUAUCCAGGGAAGUCAAGUCAGGUGUUAAUUUUCUGCAGGCCAGAAUAAUUUAUUUUAUGAGAUGGUUUACUGUCCAGCAGGGGCAGAAAUUAUUAAGGAGUAAAAUGCAUCUUAUUGAGACUCAAAGUCUCAUUUUUAUUACAGGCACUGAAAACCUAGGGUUCAUCUCAAUGCCUGAUCUCGCAUCCACGUUUCCCUCUUCGUUGCCUCUUCCUUGUGUCUUAGCUCUGCCCUCAUAAAACACAGGGGAGAGAUGCGAGGCUGAGACGCGAGGAGAGAAGAAACAAGGAGAUUUGUCUUUAGAGAAAUGAGACGUCCUUUCCUCUAAAGCGUCACAUGAAGCCACGUCCGUUUCUGAUGACAGCAGCAGCUGAUCACAGCUAGAUCAGCUGGCAGGAGGCUUUAUUAACAGCUAUAGAAACUUUUAAUUGAGUUUGUGACUGCACACACAUAAUGUUAUAUGUUAUAUGUACAUCCUCUUCAGUUCUUCUGCAGUCCAGAACUGAAGAAGCCUCUUGGAUUAGAGGUGACACAUCUUCAAGAAACUCAAGCAAGUCAAAGUUGCCUACAAUAUAGCACUUAAGAUUACCAUGACUUGGAUAACUAAGAAUCUUCACCAACAAGUACGAAAAAUCUUAUAUCUGGAGGGGAAAAAUAAAAUACAGUACAAAGAAACACAGUACAAAGAGGAGAAUGGCUUCAUCCACUGAGGUUUAAAUGCUACAGAUCUUUUGAUAAUUUGGCAAUGUGCAAUAAAAACGUAUUAUUCCAUAUUUGACCUAGAAAAGGCAAUCACAUAAAAACAAAUACAAUAUAAUUACCGCACCCCUCUGAAAAAAGGAAUUCAUAACUCUGUCACAAAAUUUAUUUUUUACAGCAGGUCAGCACUGCAGUGUCAUCAUCUACCUGCCGGGUCCUCGCAUAUCCCUGAUCUCCACGUUGAGGAAGGGCAGGAAGGGGUUUCCACAAAAGGGACAGGUGGUGUUCAGGUUGGAGUCGUCUGCUGUCCAGCCGGCCAUGAUCUCCUCAUCGUACACCAGGCAGUCACACGUCUUACAGCGAGAACAGCUGGAAAUCAGCAGCUGGAAGCACACACACACACACACACACACACACACACACACACAGAGGCAGGUGAGCUUACAGAUGAAAGGUGAUAAAGAUGUUAAAUAAUAUCUAAAUCACUUCUGAAAGCUGUUAUAUUGUAAAUGUAAAAAAUACUGUACAUGAUAACAUUUCUGAUUAGUGAUUAUGAGUACUUUUAAUUCUAUCCUAAAAUAUGCCUGCUGUUGUAGUAAAAGGCUGAUUCAACAAGACUUCACUGAACACAAUAAUGCAGUCUGCUGCUCUGCCCUCAGGUUUAUAUAUACUGUAGGUUUGAACUGUUGUAGCCAAAUAUACCACUGUAAUAAAAUAUUCUGCUGAGGGAGAAUAUUCAUGAUUAGCUUGCAGAGCAGUCUGCCAUUCCUGAAAGUUAUGAAAGCUUUUUCUGAAACUAUCAAUUUCUAGUGAAAUUCCAUCAGAGAAUUCAUUCCUGGCGACAUGACAUGGGCCAGCACCCACUUUAUAUCUUCGUAUCUUCAGCAGGAAGCCAAAGUGGAUGCAGAAAAAGCAUUUCAAUCCAAGAUGUCUGUAAAGUGGUUCUAAACAUUCAUUUUAUUUUUGUUAAAAUGUAAAUUUGUACAAAAAACAUUUUGUAUCAAACCAUCAUUUCUGGGUUCCUGACAUCCAGUUUUGAACUGUUGAACUGUACUUUUCUGCUUUCCAUCUUGCAGUUUUACCUCCAUGGCGUAGUUGUUGAAGAUGCUGGUGUUGCUGGUGUACCGUGACGAGCCGAGGUCCGACUUUUCUGGCAGAGGGAAGCCGGGGGGCGAGAGGACACAUUCUGCAGGAGUACGAAGGAUGAUUACAAUUUGUGACGAAACCACGAAAGCUGUUAAUGUCUCCUGUCACUGGAGCGAGGGUCGCUCUUACCAGGGAGCAGAGAUGAGGGUCUCCCGACGUUGGAGCCUGCAGGGGGGCUGUCCAGUCUGCUGCGGAGAGGGCUGCGUCUGGGGCUCCUGCGGGGUCCAUUCCUCGGUGGAGAGAUCACGGAGCCCUCUGACUCCCCACAGUCCGCCUCAUCCAACAGGGAAGAGCAGUCUGGAUCUCCAACACCGAGAGAGGACACACUCAGUCGGUCACUGUGACCGUCCUGAAGGAGCAGAGAAGAGCCAGGCAGACAUGCAGAAUGUUACUGAUCACAGUUACCUGACAGAGGGCUCUGGGUGAGGGGAGCAUGUCGUCGCAGCGCCCGUUUGAACUGU